GUGAGGAAUAUUGCGCAAUGGAGGCAACUCUGACGCAGCCAUGCCGCGUGCAGGAAGAAGGCGCUACGCGUUGUAAACUGCUUUUAACCGGGAAGAAACCCCAGGACGUGUCCUGGGUUGACGGUACCGGAGGAAUAAGCACCGGCUAACUUCGUGCCAGCAGCCGCGGUAAUACGAAGGGUGCAAGCGUUAUCCGGAUUCAUUGGGUUUAAAGGGUGCGUAGGAGGAGCGUUAAGUCAGUGGUGAAAUCCUGCAGCUUAACUGUAGACUUGCCAUUGAUACUGGCGCUCUUGAGUGCGCUUGAAGUGGGCGGAAUGUGCCGUGUAGCGGUGAAAUGCUUAGAUAUGGCACAGAACACCAAUUGCGAAGGCAGCUCACUAAGGCGAUACUGACGCUGAGGCACGAAAGCGUGGGGAUCGAACAGGAUUAGAUACCCGAGUAGUCC
rnacentral:rRNA from 1 species